rnacentral:rRNA from 1 species
CAAUACUCCCGCCGGCGACCGGCGCACGGGUGAGUAACACGUAUGAAACCCGCCCGUAGCAGGGGGAUAAGCGGAAGAAAUUCCGUCUAAUACCGCGUAACAACCCGAGGAGGCAUCUCCUCGGGUUUAAAGGAAGCGAUUCCGGCUACGGAUGGUCAUGCGUCGCAUUAGCUAGUUGGCGGGGUAACGGCCCACCAAGGCGACGAUGCGUAGGGGUUCUGAGAGGAAGGUCCCCCACACUGGUACUGAGACACGGACCAGACUCCUACGGAAGGCAGCAG